rnacentral:rRNA from 1 species
CCUACGGGCGGCAGCAGUGAGGAAUAUUGGUCAAUGGACGAGAGUCUGAACCAGCCAAGUAGCGUGAAGGAUGACUGCCCUAUGGGUUGUAAACUUCUUUUAUAUGGGAAUAAAACGUUCCACGUGUGGGAUUUUGUAUGUACCAUAUGAAUAAGGAUCGGCUAACUCCGUGCCAGCAGCCGCGGUAAUACGGAGGAUCCGAGCGUUAUCAGGAUUUAUUGGGUUUAACGGGAGCGUAGGUGGAUUGUUAAGUCAGUUGUGAAAGUUUGCGGCUCAACCGGAAAAAUGCAGUUGAAACUGGCAGUCUUGAGUACAGUAGAGGUAGGCGGAAUUCGUGGUGUAGCGGUGAAAUGCUUAGAUAUCACGAAGAACUCCGAUUGCGAAGGCAGUUCACUGGACUGCAACUGACACUGAGGCUCGAAAGUGUGGGUAUCAAACAGGAUUAGAUACCCUUGUAGUC